UAGCAAUAGGUUCAGGAGGUAAGAUAUGCCAGAUCCAGGGCGGAGAUGACCGAAAACCUCAAGUCGGUGGAGAUCUAGGUGGAGAACUUUAAGGUAUAGCCUCAAUCUUUCGAAUACCAAGCACACAAGAGCAAUAGGAGGUGAGUACGAGGGUUUCAUGGCCUGAGAAGCCAUAGAAACCGGCGAGAAUCGAAUGGAUUAAGGUGAACUUGGGUGGCGGCGAUUAGGGUUUGCAGAGAGAAUGAGAGAGGAAGGGGAUUCAAG
rnacentral:lncRNA from 1 species